GUCUAUGGCCACGCUACCUUGAACAAGCCCAAUCCUGUCUGAUCUCGGAAGCCAAGCAGAGUUGGGCCUGGUUAGUACUUGGAUUGGAGACCACCUAGGAAAACCAGGUGCUGUAGGCG
rnacentral:rRNA from 1 species